rnacentral:rRNA from 1 species
UACGGAGGGGGCUAGCGUUGUUCGGAAUUACUGGGCGUAAAGCGCACGUAGGCGGCUUUGUAAGUUAGGGGUGAAAUCCCGGGGCUCAACCCCGGAACUGCCUUUGAUACUGGGUAUCUGGAGUCCGAGAGAGGUGAGUGGAAUUCCGAGUGUAGAGGUGAAAUUCGUAGAUAUUCGGAGGAACACCAGUGGCGAAGGCGGCUCACUGGCUCGGUACUGACGCUGAGGUGCGAAAGCGUGGGGAGCAAACAGG